rnacentral:misc_RNA from 1 species
GAUGAAGAACGUAGCGAAAUGCGAUACGUAAUGUGAAUUGCAGAAUUCAGUGAAUCAUCGAGUCUUUGAACGCACAUUGCGCCCCCUGGUAUUCCGGGGGGCAUGCCUGUCCGAGCGUCAUUGCUGCCCUCAAGCACGGCUUGUGUGUUGGGCCUCCGUCCUCCUCCCGGGGGACGGGCCCGAAAGGCAGCGGCGGCACCGCGUCCGGUCCUCGAGCGUGUGGGGCUUCGUCACCCGCUCUUGUAGGCCCGGCCGGCGCUUGCCGACACAUCAAUCUUUUUUCCAGGUUGACCUCGGAUCAGGUAGGGAUACCCGCUGAACUUAAGCAUAUCAAUAAGCGGAGGA